rnacentral:rRNA from 1 species
GGAUUAGAUACCCUGGUAGUCCACGCCGUAAACGAUGUCUACUAGGAGCUGGGGUCUUCGGACAACUUUUCCAAAGCUAACGCAUUAAGUAGACCGCCUGGGGAGUACGGCCGCAAGGUUAAAACUCAAAUGAAUUGACGGGGGCCCGCACAAGCGGUGGAGCAUGUGGUUUAAUUCGAUGCAACGCGAAGAACCUUACCUACACUUGACAUACAGAGAACUUACCAGAGAUGGUUUGGUGCCUUCGGGAACUCUGAUACAGGUGCUGCAUGGCUGUCGUCAGCUCGUGCCG